ensembl:misc_RNA Metazoa_SRP Metazoan signal recognition particle RNA
GCCCAUGCCUCUAGUCCCAGCCACUUGGGAGGCUGAGGCUGGAGGAUCACUUGAGUCCAGGAGUUCUGGACUGUACUGCAUCCAAUCAGGUGUCCACACUACGUUUGGCACCAUAUGGUGACUUCCUGGAAGCGGAGGCCCACAAAGUUGCUAAGGAGGGGUGAACCAGCCCAGGUCACAAAUGGAGCAGGUCAAACCUCCCAUGCUGAUCAGUAGUGGAAUCACGCCUGUGAACAGCCACUACACUCCAGCCUGGGCAACAUAGUGAGACCCCAUCUAUU